GUGGGGAAUAUUGGACAAUGGGCGAAAGCCUGAUCCAGCAAUGCCGCGUGAGUGAAGAAGGCCUUAGGGUUGUAAAGCUCUUUUACCCGGGAAGAUAAUGACUGUACCGGGAGAAUAAGCUCCGGCUAACUCCGUGCCAGCAGCCGCGGUAAUACGGAGGGAGCUAGCGUUGUUCGGAAUCACUGGGCGUAAAGCGCACGUAGGCGGCUUUGUAAGUUAGAGGUGAAAGCCCGGGGCUCAACUCCGGAACUGCCUUUAAGACUGCAUCGCUUGAAUCUGGGAGAGGUAAGUGGAAUUCCGAGUGUAGAGGUGAAAUUCGUAGAUAUUCGGAAGAACACCAGUGGCGAAGGCGGCUGACUGGUCCAUUACUGACGCUGAGGUGCGAAAGCGUGGGGAGCAAACAGGAUUAGAAACCCGAGUAGUCC
rnacentral:rRNA from 1 species